GACGAACGCUGGCGGCGUGCUUAACACAUGCAAGUCGAACGAGUGGCGAACGGGUGAGUAAUACGUGGGUAACCUGCCCUCUUUUUGGGAUACGCCUUGGAAACGGGGUCUAAUACCGCAUAUAGGGGGAUGGGCUCGCGGCCUAUCAGCUUGUUGGUGGGGUGUUGGCCUCCCAAGGCGGUGCCGGGUAGCCGGCCUGCGAGGGUGCCCGGCCAGAUGGGGACUGGGCUACGGCCCAGACUCCUACGGGAGGCAGCAGUCGGGGAGAUUCCACGAUGCGCGAAAGCCCGAUGCAGCGACGCCGCGUGGGGGCUGAAGGCUUUUGGGUUGUAAACCUGUUUCGCUAGCGAACGGGUAGGUGGAGCAGACGCGCCGGCUAACUACGUGCCCGCAGCCGCGGUAAUAC
rnacentral:rRNA from 1 species